rnacentral:rRNA from 1 species
GACGAACGCUGGCGGCGUGCUUAACACAUGCAAGUCGAACGGAAAGGCCCUGCUUUUGUGGGGUGCUCGAGUGGCGAACGGGUGAGUAACACGUGAGUAACCUGCCCUUGACUUUGGGAUAACUUCAGGAAACUGGGGCUAAUACCGGAUAGGAGCUCCUGCUGCAUGGUGGGGGUUGGAAAGUUUCGGCGGUUGGGGAUGGACUCGCGGCUUAUCAGCUUGUUGGUGGGGCAGUGGCUUACCAAGGCUUUGACGGGUAGCCGGCCUGAGAGGGUGACCGGCCACAUUGGAACUGAGAUGCGGCCCAGACUCCUACGGGAGGCAGCAGUGGGGAAUAUUGCACAAUGGGCGGAAGCCUGAUGCAGCAACGCCGCGUGCGGGAUGACGGCCUUCGGGUUGUAAACCGCUUUCGCCUGUGACGAAGCGUGAGUGACGGUAAUGGGUAAAGAAGCACCGGCUAACUACGUG